rnacentral:misc_RNA from 1 species
CUGCCCUCCAGCCCGGCUGGUGUGUUGGGCCCCGCCCCCCUUCCCGGGGGGGCGGGCCCGAAAGGCAGCGGCGGCACCGCGUCCGGUCCUCGAGCGUAUGGGGCUUUGUCACCCGCUCUUGCAGGCCCGGCCGGCGCCAGCCGACCCCCUCAAUCUAUUUUUUCA